ACCCGAAGGUGGUGCGCUAACCUGGCAACAGGAGGCAGCCAACCACGGUAGGGUCAGCGACUGGGGUGAAGUCGUAACAAGGUAGCCGUAGGUGAACCUGCAGAAGGAUCA
rnacentral:rRNA from 1 species